UAGAUUGAAGCCAGUUGUAUAGGGUGUUUAGCUGUUAACUAAUUUUUUCGUGGGGUUAGAACCCACCAAUCUAG
ensembl:Mt_tRNA